CCUACGGGAGGCAGCAGUGAGGAAUAUUGGUCAAUGGACGAGAGUCUGAACCAGCCAAGUAGCGUGAAUGAUGACUGCCCUAUGGGUUGUAAACUUCUUUUAUAAAGAAGUAAGACGAGGCACGUGUUCCUUUUUGCAUGUACUUUAUGAAUAAGGAUCGGCUAACUCCGUGCCAGCAGCCGCGGUAAUACGGAGGAUCCGAGCGUUAUCCGGAUUUAUUGGGUUUAAAGGGAGCGUAGAAGGGAUGUUAAGUCAGUUGUGAAAGUUUGGGGCUCAACCGUAAAAUUGCAAUUGAUACUGGCAAUGUUGAGUAAAGGUGAGGUUAGCGGAAUUCGUGGUGUAGCGGUGAAAUGCUUAGAUAUCACGAAGAACCCCGGUUGCGAAGGCGACUUACU
rnacentral:rRNA from 1 species